rnacentral:tRNA from 1 species
CCGGGAUUGGCGGAACUGGUAGACGCACCAGACUUAGAAUCUGGCGGGAGACUGUGUGGGUUCGAGUCCCUCAUCCCGGACCA